rnacentral:lncRNA from 1 species
GAUUCCAAGGUUCAUAACAUGUUUAACAUGCUCUUAUCAUGAUGUAUGAACGAAUCUAAUGGUUAAAAACGAGAUUUAUAAAGGAUUAAACUCAAGAACAUUGUGUUCUUGAGUCUUUUGAGUAAAAGCGAUAAAUCUUUACUUUUUCGAUGUUUAUGACGUAGAUCUGAGAAAUGAACUGUCCUUUUGUGUUUAGAUAUGCUUGUUGCACUUGAAUAUGAACUUAUUUGGGG